rnacentral:rRNA from 1 species
AUUGAACGCUGGCGGCAGGCCUAACACCUGCCAGUCGAGCGGAUCGGCGGUCGGGUGCGUAAUGCCUAGGACUCUGCCUGUUCGUGGGGGCUCACGUCCGGAAACGUGCGCUAAUACCGCAUACUCUCAGAUGAGCCUAGGGCGGAUUAGCUAGUUGGUGGGGUAAAGGCCUACCAAGGCCACGAUCCGUAACUGGUCUGAGAGGAUGAUCAGUCACACUGGAACUGAGACACGGUCCAGACUCCUACGGGAGGCAGCAGUGGGGAAUAUUGGACAAUGGGCGAAAGCCUGAGCCAGCCAUGCCGCGUGUGUGAAGAAGGUCUUCGGAUUGUAAAGCACUUUAAGUUGGGAGGCGUUACCAACAGAAUAAGGACCGGCUAACUUCGUGCCAGCAGCCGCGGUAAUUC